rnacentral:rRNA from 1 species
AGCGAACGCUGGCGGCAGGCCUAACACAUGCAAGUCGAACGAACUCUUCGGAGUUAGUGGCGGACGGGUGAGUAACACGUGGGAACGUGCCUUUAGGUUCGGAAUAACUCAGGGAAACUUGUGCUAAUACCGAAUGUGCCCUUCGGGGGAAAGAUUUAUCGCCUUUAGAGCGGCCCGCGUCUGAUUAGCUAGUUGGUGAGGUAAAGGCUCACCAAGGCGACGAUCAGUAGCUGGUCUGAGAGGAUGAUCAGCCACAUUGGGACUGAGACACGGCCCAAACUCCUACGGGAGGCAGCAGUGGGGAAUCUUGCGCAAUGGGCGAGAGCCUGACGCAGCCAUGCCGCGUGAAUGAUGAAGGUCUUAGGAUUGUAAAAUUCUUUCACCGGGGACGAUAAUGACGGUACCCGGAGAAGAAGCCCCGGCUAACUUCGUGCCAGCAGCCGCCGUAA